GACGGAAGGUGCAAGCGUUGCUCGGAAUCACUGGGCGUAAAGGGUGCGUAGGCGGCCGUGCAAGUCUGGCGUGAAAGCCCCGGGCUCAGCCCGGGAAGUGCGCUCGAAACUGCGCGGCUCGAGUGCCGGAGGGGAGAGUGGAAUUCCUGGUGUAGCGGUGAAAUGCGUAGAUAUCAGGAGGAAUACCGGUGGCGAAGGCGGCAUCCUGGACCAUUACUGACGCUGAGGCGCGAAAGCUAGGGGAGCAAACGGG
rnacentral:rRNA from 1 species